rnacentral:rRNA from 1 species
UAUUGCCCCAAGAGGAGCUCGCGUCUGAUUAGCUAGUUGGUGAGGUANAAGCUCACCAGGGCAGCGAUCAGUAGCUGGUCUGAGAGGACGAUCAGCCACACUGGGACUGAGACACGGCCCAGACUCCUACGGGAGGCAGCAGUGGGGAAUUUUCCGCAAUGGGCGAAAGCCUGACGGAGCAAGACCGCGUGAGGGAGGAAGGCUCUUGGGUUGUAAACCUCUUUUCUCAGGGAAGAAGCUCUGACGGUACCUGAGGAAUCAGCCUCGGCUAACUCCGUGCCAGCAGCCGCGGUAAUACGGAGGAGGCAAGCGUUAUCCGGAAUUAUUGGGCGUAAAGCGUCCGCAGGUGGCGAUUCAAGUCUGCUGUCAAAGCACGGGGCUUAACUCCGUUAAGGCAGUGGAAACUGAAUAGCUAGAGUGCCGUAGGGGUAGAGGGAAUUCCCGGUGUAGCGGUGAAAUGCGUAGAGAUCGGGAAGAACAUCGGUGGCGAAAGCGCUCUACUGGACGGCAACUGACACUCAGGGACGAAAGCUAGGGGAGCGAAUGGGAUUAGAUACCCCAGUAGUCCUAGCUGUAAACGAUGGAUACUAGGUGUAGCUUGUAUCGACCCGAGCUGUGCCGAAGCUAACGCGUUAAGUAUCCCGCCUGGGGAGUACGCACGCAAGUGUGAAACUCAAAGGAAUUGACGGGGGCCCGCACAAGCGGUGGAGUAUGUGGUUUAAUUCGAUGCAACGCGAAGAACCUUACCAGGGCUUGACAUGUCCGGAAUCCCGGUGAAAGCUGGGAGUGCCUUCGGGAGCCGGAACACAGGUGGUGCACGGCUGUCGUCAGCUCGUGUCGUGAGAUGUUGGGUUAAGUCCCGCAACGAGCGCAACCCUCGUCUUUAGUUGCCAGCAUUAAGUUGGGCACUCUAGAGAGACUGCCGGUGACAAACCGGAGGAAGGUGGGGAUGACGUCAAGUCAGCAUGCCCCUUACGCUCUGGGCGACACACGUACUACAAUGGUCGGGACAGAGGGCAGCGAACCUGCGAAGGCAAGCUAAUCCCAGCAAACUCGGCCUCAGUUCAGAUCGCAGGCUGCAACUCGCCUGCGUGAAGGAGGAAUCGCUAGUAAUCGCCGGUCAGAA